UGAGGAACAUGACCUUCGGCGGGGGAUAGCCGGCCCAACGGCCGGGUAAUACCGCGUACGACCUCUUGGGGACAUCCCCGGGUGGUGAAAGCAGCAAUGCGCCGAAAGAGUGCCUCGCGGCCUAUCAGCUAGUUGGUGGGGUAAUGGCUCACCAAGGCGACGACGGGUAGCCGGCCUGAGAGAGUGACCGACCACACUGGGACUGAGACACGGCCCAGACUCCUACGGGAGGCAG
rnacentral:rRNA from 1 species